rnacentral:rRNA from 1 species
UACGUAGGGCGCAAGCGUUGUCCGGAAUUAUUGGGCGUAAAGAGCUCGUAGGCGGCUUGUCACGUCGGGUGUGAAAGCCCGGGGCUUAACCCCGGGUCUGCAUUCGAUACGGGCUAGCUAGAGUGUGGUAGGGGAGAUCGGAAUUCCUGGUGUAGCGGUGAGAUGCGCAGAUAUCAGGAGGAACACCGGUGGCGAAGGCGGAUCUCUGGGCCUUACCUGACGCUCAGGCACGAAAGCUAGGGGAGCGAACAGG